GAGUAAUACCUAGGAACUUUCUUUAAGUGGAGCAUAACCAGUCGAAAGAUUGGAUAAUACUUCAUGUGGCAGUAAUGCUAAAGUCGCAAGACGCUUAAAGUGAGGCCUGGGCACCAUCAGCUAGUUGGUAAGGUAAAAGCUUACCAAGGCUAUGACGGUUAGGGGCCCCGAGAGGGGAGACCCCCACACUGGAACUGCGACACGGUCCAG
rnacentral:rRNA from 1 species